GAGCGAGUCCCUCCGUCCCCGCGAGUCGGCGCUUUUGGCCCUGCGGGAGGGGCCGGGCUCGGUGAGCGACUGGUGGGGGCUCGGGUCCGAGUCCAGGGGGCGACGUGGGCCGCGGAUACCGCCAGCCGCGGGCCCUGCGUCCCUCCCGGGAGCCGUGUUUCCGUUCAUGAGGCCUCGGGCUGUGUGCUUAGAUGAGAAAAGCAUCAUUCAAGCUCAGAUUCGUAUUGAAGCCUGCCACAAGGUCCACCUGUUGUGGGUUUGUGUGUGACCAGACCAAGUCUCGCUCUGUUGGCCAGGCUGGAGUGCAGUGGCGUGAUCUUGGCUCAUUUCAACCUCCACCUUCCAGAUUCAAGCAAUUCUUCUGCCUCAGUUUUCUGGGUAGCUGGGACUACAGGGGUUACCCCCAGCAGUGUGUGAGAAUGAAGAGUGUGGGCCACUGUGUCUCUGUUGACCUGCCAGCUAGGAAAUAGCGCCAGAGUUGCUGCAAUCCGCAUCUCCCUAGAAUUCAGGAGCAGCUUGGCUGGAAGGCUCUGGCUGGAAACUUGCAGAAGGCUGUCAGCUGGGUCCGCAUCAUCCCAAGGCUCAACGGGUACCGGGGGCCACUCCAUGGCCUGCGAGUCGGAGCUGGCUGUCGGUGGGAGGCCUCAGUUCCUCUCCACAUAGGCCUCUCCACAGGGCCACUUGAGCAUCUUCCCAGCAUGGCAACUGGCGUCCCCUAGAGCAACAUCCAGGAGACCA
rnacentral:sRNA from 1 species